AUACGUAGGGUGCGAGCGUUGUCCGGAAUGAUUGGGCGUAAAGGGCGCGUAGGCGGCCCGGUAAGUCUGGAGUGAAAGUCCUGUUUUUAAGAUGGGAAUUGCUUUGGAUACUGUCGGGCUUGAGUGCAGGAGAGGUAAGUGGAAUUCCCAGUGUAGCGGUGAAAUGCGUAGAGAUUGGGAGGAACACCAGUGGCGAAGGCGACUUACUGGACUGUAACUGACGCUGAGGCGCGAAAGUGUGGGGAGCAAACAGGAUUAGAUACCCUGGUAGUCCACACUGUAAACGAUGAAUGCUAGGUGUAGGGGGUAUCGACCCCUUCUGUGCCGCAGUCAACACAAUAAGCAUUCCGCCUGGGGAGUACGGCCGCAAGGUUGAAACUCAAAUGAAUCGGCGGGG
rnacentral:rRNA from 1 species